UUAUUUUUUCCUAAGUCAAACUUCUUUAGCUUUGACUAAGUUUACAGAAAAAUAUAGCAAUAUUUUCAACAUGAAACAAAAAAAUAUCAAUAUAUAUUCAAUGUUGGAUUUAACAAAACUAAUUUAGUGCUAUAAAUGUUGCUAUAUUUUUCUAUAAACUUGGUCAAACUUUUAAGAAGGUUGACUUUAAAAAAACUGAA
rfam:Oryza sativa Japonica Group DNA, chromosome 5, cultivar: Nipponbare, complete sequence.